AACGGCCUGACACAACGACUCAGCGACAUCCCCGCGGCCUCUCCCCUCGCCUGGGCUCUCUCCGCCUGGCUUUUGCAGAAGCAGAAACCAGCAGCGAUUCCGCCCUCGCUAGUAUCGCCGCCCUCGUUCACCGCUUACUGCCGGCGGGAUGAUCCCGUUCAACCCUGCGGUCGCCGCGGAGGUGCGCGCCCUGAUACAGGGCGUGGAGGACUCCACCUUCGACCCCAUAUACCGCGAGCUCUCCCAGAUUGUGGAUUGUAGCCCUGGUGGGUGCGUUUUUUGCUUCAAGUUUGUGUGGAUGAAAUUCUCUUAAACAUCGGUGGCGCAAAUAACCACCGAUUGAAACAUGAUCUUGUAGCCAUCAUCUUCAGAUAUUGUGUGGAUAAACCCUACUUCAGCACCAAUUUCUGUGAAGCACUGAGGGCAAUGCCUGACAGCGAUGGGCUCCUUGAAACAUUGUCCAAUGAACUUGAGUUAUCUACAACUGAGAGGGUUGUAGUUGGACUUGCUCUCUCAGACUCUGAGAAUCCAGACUUGAACCUGGAAGGGAGAAAAUUUACAAUCGCUCAAAUUAAGGAAUAAGGAGUUAUGCUCAAACCAUGCUCAUUCUGUAUCAAAUGAAUGGAUACAGGAGAUUGUUGUGUUUUUUCUCCAGACCGAAGGCCUCUCAAAAAAUAUGGAUUCCUUUACUAACAUUUUUCCCUAUUAAAUGUAAAAGAGGGUCCAUUCUAUGUUCCUGUCCCACUUCAGCAACCCAAUAGUGAUCGAGCAAAUUAUUUGAGAUAUGCAGAGAUGUGCCUUGGUAGAUUAGAUGACGAUUUUGAUUCUCAUAUAUCCAAAAUUGGAGAACAAAUAAGUCUGUCUGAUAUCAUCAGUGAACUAGGAUGUGGAUGUACUUGUAAUACUACUCAUUGUAAAGAAAUGUUAUCACUCCUUGAGCCUCUUGAUGAUAUGGGAAUCUCUAAGUUACUAGGAGCGGUUGUUUGCACUCGUAUUGGUGUUGGAGAAGCUCAAAAUACAUAUUCAAUAUUUCUUUUGACUUUUGGGAACAACCAAACAAUUGACUCAUCUCAGUUGACUUCAUGGAAUAUUGAUGUUCUUGUGGAUUCAAUCAAUGAAAUUGCACCUGGAACUAACUGGACACAUGUUAUAGAAAAUCUUGACCAUGAGGGUUUCAUUAUCCCUGAUGAAGCAGCUUUUCGUUUAUUGAUGUCUAUAUGUUAUUGAGCCUGCAAGGAUCCAUUCCCACUUCAUGCCAUCUGUGGGUUACUAUGGAAUAAUAUAAAAGGACAGUUGUCAUUCUUGAAACAUGCAGUGGCUUUGCCAAAUGAUACAUUCACAUUCGCACAUUGUACAAGGAAGAUGGUUUUUCCAGACUUGGGAAAUUGUAACCAGGGCAAUCAGGCUUGGUACUGCCUUGUCCUUCUUGAGGUGUUAUGUCAGCUUGCUGAACUUGGCUAUUCAAAGCCAGUGCGAGCAAUUCAGCCAAUUCUUGGUUAUCCUCUGAUCAAUUAUCCUGAAGUGUUACUUCUUGGUGUUAGCCAUAUCAAUACUGCAUAUAAUCUCAUCCAGCAUGAAGUACUGUCCUGUGUUUUUCCUGCUGUGGUGAAGAACACCAUGCACAGCAGUCUUAUGAACUAUCUAUGACAUAUCAAUCCUUACCUUACUCUUCAAGGAUUCAUUGAUGCUCGUUCUGACAUAAGUUGUCUUCUGAGAACUGUGGAGAUAUGUGAAGACCUAAAGGUAGUACAGUAGACAACCCUUAUGUAGCGAGUUGGCUACUGAACAACCUAUUACAAUUCUUUUUUGCAAGUUGAAUUCUCUCUGCGUUUUCAUCUAAUUUAACAAGUCCUAACUGAGUAA